GAUGAACGCUGGCGGCGUGCUUAACACAUGCAAGUCGAACGGAAAGGCCCAAGCUUGCUUGGGUACUCGAGUGGCGAACGGGUGAGUAACACGUGGGUGAUCUGCCCUGCACUUCGGGAUAAGCCUGGGAAACUGGGUCUAAUACCGGAUAGGACGAUGGUUUGGAUGCCAUUGUGGAAAGUUUUUUCGGUGUGGGAUGAGCUCGCGGCCUAUCAGCUUGUUGGUGGGGUAAUGGCCUACCAAGGCGUCGACGGGUAGCCGGCCUGAGAGGGUGUACGGCCACAUUGGGACUGAGAGACGGGCCAGAGUCCUACGGGAGGCAGCAGUGGGGAAUAUUGCACAAUGGGCGCAAGCCUGAUGCAGCGACGCCGCGUGGGGGAUGACGGCCUUCGGGUUGUAAACACCUUUCGCUAGGGACGAAGCGUUUUUGUGACGGUACCUGGAGAAGAAGCACCGGCUAACUACGUG
rnacentral:rRNA from 1 species